ACGCUCAGUUGCGGCUUGGACAUUGACCAAUACGGACGUGUUUUUAAAGCGCUCUGAAAAAAGUUUUGACUUUUAAAUUUUUUUUACUACGACAGAAUCUUAGUUGACUGAUGGUCUUUGACAAAGACAGACUUGUUUUUGUGAGCUCUGAAAAAAAUUUGACUUUGAAAUAUUUUUACGAUUAAAAAGUUUCAGUUGACUUUUGAACGUUGACGAAGACGGACGUACUUUCGUGAGCUCUGACUAUUGAUGAAAAGUUUUCGCGUUAUAGAAUAGCGACUUGGUACUCAGGUUGUUGAAUGACUGGAUGACUGAAGUGUUAGGUUAUUGUUAUGAGAUAACAACUUGACUUUGACUUGAGUUGUGAAAUGAAAUCAUACUCUUAUGCGAUGUUAACUUUUGAACGUUUAGUAUUGACUGACAACGAAAUUUUGUGAGCGUUAUAUAUGAAAUGUUUGACUUACAUUAAUUUUUUUGAACGACUUGACUUCACUUUAAGUUUUGACAUCGGACUGAUCGGACGUGUUUUUUUAAGCUCUGACUGUUGUGAAUAAUUAAAUUUAUGUUGUGGUGUCAAGCGAUUGACUGUCAGUUGAGGUUCAGAUGUCGAGCUGUGCGGACGUGUUCAUCGAGCUGCUGUCUACAAAAAACGGGGCUGUGGUGAGUAUUGUAGUAUAAAUUUGUUUCAAUAAAUCAUGAUGAAUGAAAACUGAUUUCGAUUCGUUUUGUACAGGUUUACUUGUAUAGAAGUGUAAUGCGUUGGGUAGAAAUUAGAAUCUACUCAGUACUGAUAUAGUGUCGAUAUGUUGUGAUUAGCGAUGAUGGUGUAUGAUGGUGGAACAGAACAUGAGCUACUUUGGGGAAACGAACAUAUGAUUGAAAAAAAUUUGCAAACAUAGUAGAUAAAUGAUAUGAUAUUGCUUAAAUUGUAUUUGCAUGCUGUAACAUUUCUAUUUCAUUUCAGGGUGCUGUGGUGAGUACUGUAGAUUGUAGUGCAUAUGUAUAGAAUUCAAUAAACGAUGAUGAAUGAAAACUGAUUUCGAUUCGUUUUGUGUAAUUUUAGGUAUUUUCACUCUAUCACAACUCUGUCGGUUGGUGUUCAUGAGUGUGAGACUAAUACAGCAAUGUUUGAGUAGUACAAAAAUGUUUUCGCUUUUGUGGUCGCCAGCUGUCCGUGAUCUGUAAAGUGAAAAUACACAGAGCUAUGAAGCAUACAGAUGUUUCGAAAUUUUAUCAAUGAUUGUAUACUAUGCAUGUUUUGAUUUAGUUCGUUUCAGAUUUGACAUGAGAUGAAAACCUGAUAUGAUUUGAACAGAGCUGGGAAAUGAAAAGAUUUUCAGAUGUGUGCUGGCAGUUCAAGUCUGGCAGCUGGAGUGAACAGUCGUGUUUUCUGGAGCUCCAACAAUAUGCUAGAAGGAGUGCUUAUCCAGUGAUGAUAUGACAGUUGGAGUGAACAGUGGAGCCAAGCAGUCUUGUUUUUGGAGCUACUCAACAAGCCUUGAAGGUAAGUUUAGAAUUUCUCAAUGUUAGUGAAUUGAAGUACUGUCACUUGCUUUUGGACAGUCGAACAGAACAGACGUGGUUGCGAGAGCUCUCAUAUCUGUUGUGUUAAACUGUUUUUAUGAUAUGUUAUGUUUGUUUGUUUGUUUGUGAUGUACUAUUUUUCAGAUGCUGAUGGCAGUGAUGGGUUUUCAAGCUGACCUGAACAGAAAAGCACUCAUAUGGUAAGUACAAAAUAGUUGUUAUAUGGGAUGUUUUGUGCAUGCUUUUAUGUUUCAGGUGUACUUGCUGACAGCGACGAAGACGAAUCAAGAAGAGGAACAUUGUUGAGAAAGUGAUUGGGACUUGCAAACAGGAUUCGAGUCACUGGUUUACACAUGGAAGAAGAUUUCCACGUCUGUUACUCAACUCUACAGAAGCAAGAUGUUUUGUUUCAGUUGAUGUCCAGAUGGCAAGCAGUACAGACGUGUUUCUUGGAGCUGCCAAACAGGAGCUGUGGUAAGUAUUGUAGUAUUAAUUUGUCUCAAUAAACGAUGAUGAAUGAAAACUGAUGUCGAUUCUUUUUGUACAGUUUUAGGUAUUAGCACUCUAUACAAAACUCUGUCGGUCGGUGUUUGUGAAUGUGAGCUUAAUCUUUGAGUAGAACAAAAAUGUCUUUACUUUUGUGAUCGCCAGUUGUCUGUGAUGUAAAGUGGAAAAAACACAGCUAUGAAGCAUACAAUUGUUUCAAUAUUUUAUCAAUGAUAGUGUGCUAUGCAUGUUUUGAUUUAGUUCGUUUCAGAUACGACAUGACAUGAAGAGUUGACAGUCGAACAGAGCUGAGCAAAGCAGAAAGGUAAGUGUGUUUCAUUUUAGUAUGAACACUUGUAUUUUGUUUUUAUAUGGUAUGUUUUGUGCAUGCUAUGUUUCAGGUGUACUUGUAGUCAGCGACGAAGACGAUUCAAGAAGAGAAACAUUGCUGAGAAAGUGAAUGGGACUUGCAAACAGGGUAAGUGUUACAAUUGUGUUUGUUUGAUUUUUGCCAUGCAUACUUUGCUUUGCUCUGUUUCAGAUUUCACAUGCAGAAAUGGUCUCAUAGCAGUGCCAACAGUGAAUAAGGAUUUCAGCUGCUGUGAAACAACUCAACAGAAAGUAGGUAAGCAUUGAAUGAAUGCACUUGAGUUGUACAAUUUGAUGUGAUGCUUUUCUCUGUUUCAGAUUCAAGUUCCUGGUGUAGACAGAGAAAUGUGUUUGAAGAAGGAAUUCUACUACUGUGAUUCAACUCUACAGAAGCAAGGUAAGUAGAAACACAAUUUUGGUUUAAUUUAACUCAUGUGUUUUGCACUGCAUGCUAUUUUUCAGGUCUCUCAUGCAGUGAUGCAAAAGAAGAAGAUUUCAAGAAAGAAUCACUGCUGCAACUCAGGCCUAUAACAAGGUAAGUGUUUACUAUAUUGUAUACAAAAUGUUUCUCUGUUUUACUCUGUUUGAAGGUUUCAAUUGCAGAGAUGUUGCAGAGAUGUUUUGACAGCUUGUGACAGAAAAGAAAUUCAGCAGCUGUGUCUCGACUCUAGCCACGAGGUAAGUCAAAACAAAUAUACUGGUUUGUAUGUUAUGUUGUUAUGCCCUUCUAUGUUUCAGACUUACAUUGCUGUGACUGUUCCACAGUGGGUCAAAAAAGAGACGAAUACAGGCUUCAAGAAGAAAAUUGGCUGUUGAAAACCUGCACAAAAUAUGAGGUAAGUAAACUAUUCUUUUGGUUUGUUUUGUGCUUUGUUAUGCUUAACUAUUUUUCAGAUUGGAAUGGUGGGUCGUUACAGAGCAGACUUUUGGACAACUGAGAAGUUGAGAAACAGAGAAUGAUUCAAGAUCAGCUAGGUAAGUCUUGAUUAUUGUGCAUUGCUAAAUGUUUUUUUUCAUUCCAGUAUGGCUGUGGUAAGUACACAAACUUUCUAUAAUUUAAUAUUGAACUGUUUUUAUGACCUGUAUUCUGCAUUGUAAAAUGUCUGUUUUUCAUUUCAGUAUCCUGUGGUAAGUACACUAACUUUCUUUAAUUUUCAUAUUGAACUGUUUUGAUGACUUGUAUACUACUAUGCAAUGCCUAAUGUUUUUUUCAUUUCAGUUGCCUGUGGUAAGUACACUAACUUUCUUUAAUUUUCAUAUUGAACUGUUUUGAUGACUUGUAUACUACUAUGCAAUGCCUAAUGUUUUUUUCAUUUCAGUAGCCUGUUGGUAAGUACACUAACUUUCUAUAAUUUCAUAGUGAAUUGUUUUGAUGACCUGUAUUCUGCAUUGUAAAAUGUGUUUCUUUUUCAUUUCAGUAUGGCUGUGGUAAGUACAAUUGCCUUUCAUAUUGAACUGUUUUGAUGACCUGUAUUUUGCAUUGCUAAAUGUUUUUUUCAUUUCAGUAUAGCUGUGGUAAGUACACUAACUUUCUUUAAUUUUCAUAUUGAACUGUUUUGAUGACUUGUAUUCUGCUAUACAAAAUGUGCUUUUUUCAAUUUCAGGUCAGCAAUGGUAAGUAUAUUGUGUUUCUUUAUGUAUAAUUUUGUAUACAUAUUGUUUUUUUCAUCAUAGCAUGUUUUUUAUAUUUAUGCUUUGUGUAAGUAAAAUGUUCAUAAAUCAUUCUUAUCUUUAAACUAAAAAUGUAUUUUGAUAUGCAAAAUGUCUGUAUGAUUUCAGUUGCCAGAGGUGAGUACCAUUACAGUUGAAAAGUUAGUUUUGUUUAGUUAAAGUUUUGGUUCACAGUUCUGUUUAUUAUUUGGCAAAAUUUACAUGUAUGCAUUGAGUCUUGAUUUCAGCUCGAUUGUGGACUGAAGAAGAUUGCCAGCAGAGGGAUUGGAUACAAAAUACAAAGUAAGUACUGAGUUUCUUACUAAAAGUUUUGAGUUGUAUUCAUUGUGUGUUAAUAUGCUAUGAUUGCUAUGAACAUGACUUUUGUAUUUCAGCGAAGACAACAUAGGUAAGUAAAAUUGUUAUCUGUUUCAAGUUUACUGUUAUAGUUCAAUAUUGUGUUUAUAAAUUGUAAGUUGUACAAACACAUUCAAAAGUUUCUGAUCAUGCUUUCAAUUUCAUUUCAGCCCUACUACAAGACGAGUGUUUUCUACUACUAGACGUGUCAGGUUUACUUCCAGGCGAGCAGUGACAACAAGGCGCCUUUGUGGAAACAGCAAAACAAACAACUCUACUGCAAGACGAGCAGUGACAGAAAGGCGCCUGAACAUGCAACACAAUACAAAAAAUGCCAAUUUGCAAACCUUGAUGUGGACACCGAGUAGUCAAUACAUACGUGUGGCGUAUAGCUGCGACAAAACCGUGGGUCCAUCGCACCGAUAACUUGAACAUUGGCCCGUGUAUGGACAUCAGUGCAACUUUGUGAAUCCAUGUAACUUUGUGAAUCCAUGUAACAUUGCGAAUGUGUGUCGAUCGAAAAAUGUGUACAUUCUGCACUGAAACGAACUCGGUGUUGCAAGUGGCAAGUGUUGACAGUGUGUAUGUUUAUGUUUAUGUUUUUACAUGAAAAAUAAAGGAGAUUGUUCUCCUACCUUUUUUUUCCUUGUUUUAUUGUGCUGGCCAGCAAUAUUGAUGUAUUGAUGUAUUGAUGUAUGUGUUUGUGUAUUAACGAUGUAUUAACUAUGCAUUACCAAAAUCAAACAAAACUUUGGCACAAGAGACUCUAAGUAUCAAAUACCAACAAUUUAAGCGCAGACAAUCACAUGGUGGUACACCAGUCCGAAUAUACUCAUUGCUCUAGCCAGGAUUGCAAAUUACUUGUGUUGACUAGCAAGGCUCCCUAGUAACGGAGCAGUGUUACUGGCGUUUUUUGGGUCGAUAGUGCUUAGGUGAGGUUUUGCUCGAAUCGGGAGCGGGUCACUCGCUUGGGCGAGUUAGUUUUCGCUCGUAGUUUCCAAUCUGGCUAGAUCAAUGUAAGGUUGUUUUGACUGCUAUUUGGCAAGCAGAAAGACAACAGCGGUUAAUUGACUGAGUAUGGGCGACCGAGGUAUGUAGGUGUCAAUAGACCGACUCCACAAGUUGCGAAGCGAACCGAUAGCACUUGAGGGGAAACGCCUCGGUUUUCGGUUCUAACAUGUGUUAUCCAUGCUGUCGUUAUACUCUGGCAAGGCUCCUCAAUCUAUCGCGAGGGACACUCAUUAUUGCCCGCAAGCUUUAGAACCUGACGUGGGUCGAUGCGUAUGCGAGUCCGAGGACGCGAUGGCAUUUGAUAAGGCUACCAACCGGUUGAUAACACGCAUUGUUCAAAUUGUUAGGUUUAAGUCUGCUAGGGCUGGGGUGGGAA